CUUUCUUUCUUUCUUUCUUUCUCUGUUUUGAAGUGGAGCUCAGGUGAGGUGGCAUCUCUUCUAUCGGUGGAUCUACAUUGCUAUAUAAUAAUGUUUAAUCCAAUGAUAUGAUACCACGUAAUUGCUGUUUUGCUUUGCUGGCAUGCCACGACAGGUUCUAGCACUUCAUUCACAAUAUAAAAUGGAAACGUGGAUAAUGGCGGGUUCUGUCCUGAAAGUUCUUGAUCUGUGAAGAGAAGGAUGGAGGGUUCGACGGUUUCAGGGGUAGAAUGGGUAUAAGGAAGAGAAUUUCAAUUUUAACGGUGGAGAUUCGAACACCGGGUGAACAGGGUUAUGGGGAAACGUAUUAUAGUAUUCCCUGAAGAAUUUCUAUUUAUUAUAAAUGUUUGUCUGAUCAAUGACAUCAUUAAUUGUCGCUAGAAAUCCUCCAAGCAAUUACUUGAGUCUAAAUCAAAUCUCUAAUCCCAUCUAUAAAUGGGAAUUCUAAUCACCUGAAUCUAAACAAGCCAAAGCUCUAAAUGAAAAUUCAAAAUUAAAAAAAAAAUAAAAAGGAAAAAAGAGUACAUUUUUUAGUUGGCGAUUGGAUGAUUUCUUCCGAUAAUAUACACCAAUUAGCAAUCCAAUCUAACGAAAUGGAGCAAGAGGGUUUGGACUAUUAGGCACUUUCAGGCUCCUAAGCUCUUUACACACAUGAUCUAACAUCCCCAGAAAAUCUCUAACAAUCACAAAAAUACGAAGUGGGUUAGCUUCUUCUUUGCUCACAUCUCCAUGAAAGUACUCAGUAAUUUCUCUAACAUGUAAUAGUACUCUAUGUUCAUCUUCCUGCAACUCCUUCAGAUUCCUUUCCGCAUAUUUUAUGAAUAUUUUCAUUGAAUGAACAAAAUUUCCACUCUUUUCAUCUGCCAACAAGUCCUUGAGUGCUAGAUGCUGCAGUUUAGCCAUUCCUUCUGAAAGGUUUGAGACUGAACUUGCAAGAACGUCCAAGUCAAUUGUAGCUGUUUUCUUGACAUUGUAAAGUUCUGUACUUAGACCUGACACAAGCUCUAAACCCAUUCUUCUGUAAUCUUCUUCCUUUUGUUCAAUGGUCUUGCUUUUGUUCUUCUGAUUAAUCCUUCCCAUAAUGCUAUCUGAUACUCGGAUCCCUUCUGACCGAAUUAUUUCUUGGACUACAAAAUGGAGUAAGGUAGUUUUCCCAUCUUUUCCCUUCACAUCAGAAAGUUUAAGGAGAGCAUCAAGCUUGAAUGCCCUAGCACCUCCUCUAAUUGUUCCAACGUUCAUACGAUUGCCUGUUUUGAGUACUGCUUCGAGUAACUUCAAGAAAAGCCUACUUGACCUGAGUUCUUUGCAGGCCUCCUAAUGAAAAAUAGAAUAAGAGACGGGCACAAGUUGUAUUGAAAUAUUGGUUUUAAUAAAACACACAACUAAUAACUGGUUUGCUGUGCGGUUUGAUCAGUUACCUCCAGCAUUGAGAAAGAAUUUCUCAGAUGAACCACCUCAUCUUCAAAAGUUUCUCUAUAAAGCAUUGCUUCAACUCUUAGAAAGGCAAAUGGUAUGGUAAGUGCCACUUUAACAAACUUUUCCGCAAAACCCAAUUCAUUGAUGUCUCCUUUAUAGUCUGCAAGCUUAGCCUCUUCUUCCUUGGUGGGUUCCAUCUUUUUCAGUGCCUCUAGUUGUUGUAAACACAAGCCAUCCCCUCUUAUUAAUGCUUCACAUACUUGCUCAGGAGUUGCAUUCAAGGCUUUUGAGAGUAUGGUUAAGUUCUGCAGUCUCUUUGGCUCUAGGACAUGCUUGCUUGGAGAUGGGGUUUUGCUCUUUGCUUCAUCAUUCUUCAUUGUACCUUUUAAGUUGUAUCCAAAAAGAGAUUCAAUCAUCUCCUCAUCUAACUCGAAUGAGCUUGAUCUUAUCUUGUCCCACACCAUACUACGAUCUGGUGCAGCUCUAACUUUGUCCCAAUGAAGAGGCUUUAAUUUUGGAAGGGGAGCUCCAUCUUUUCCAAAUUGUGCAUGUUGAGGAAGUUGAGAUGGUGGAGGAGGUGGGCCUUUGGCAAAGCUAGUAUUUCCUGGUAGAAAUGGAGGUGGGCAUGGUGGAAGAGGGAUGCUCGAUCGAGCUUGUGAAGUCUCGGGAGAUUUCUGGGGUGAUGACAGCAAGUCAUUUUGAGAUUUCUGGUUUGAUCCUGAAGAAGAAUCUGACUUCCUAGGAGAUGAUAAAUUUGUCAAAGGAGAAGAACAUGAAGCUUUAUCUGUAUUUCUGGUAGACCACGAAGGUGUGCGCGAAGGAAGGAAGCGCAUACUUGGUGUCAAGGCAGGUCGAGGCGGAGGUGGAGGUGGGGAUGGAGGUGCAAAAUUCUCAUCAGAAUCUAAAGGAGAUGAAACUGUGAGAUUUUCUGCUCUGAAAAUUUCUGGAGAUUGAGGAAAAUUUGCUUGUAAAUUCAAAGCAGGAGUUGAGAUGCAUUCUGAAGUUGCUUGUGGAAUGUCUAAUUUUUUGGAAGAAGUUAGAGGAGAUGGUGGUGUCAUAGUCACAAUUGAAUGGGAUAUUUCUGACAUGUCACUAAGACUGCCAGCUGAAGCAUUGGAAAACCUGAUAUGAGAUGAACGUGAAUCAACAAAAGAAUGAAAAGACUCAUCAUCAGAGGAAUGGCCUUCAAUGGGAAUAACUUCAUCCUCGGGGAAAAAAUUUCCACCAUCAGAUUCAUACUUAAGAGAUUCUACAUCCCCAUGAACAGACAUGAUUUCCCUUGUGGAAGAACUACUAGCAUUGUCAAAUUCUGAUUUUAUUAUCAAUUCUUGGUUUGAUUCCUUCCCCUCGUGAAAUGCACAUUUUGGCAUGCUAUGAUUUGAUGAUGUAUCUAAUGCUUCAGUAGUUUGUUUAAGGCAAGUAUUAUGUUGCUCUAAAUCUCUUUCUAAUGAAUUGAGAUACAAUAGAUCAAGGCCAGGAUUUAAGCUCACCUUUCUUGCUGACUUUUGGGAAAAUAUAUACUUAGAUUUACCGAUGGUUCUUCCCUUUUUCUUGUAGACCGACAUCAGUCUUGCAGAUAUUCUUUUGUUCUUUUUGAAUUUUCCAGAGACCCAGAUAAGCCCAAGAACGCAGACAAUGAAGGCAACUCCUGCUGACACAAGAAUUGCUGCUAGAAUUAUUCUAAAUUUGCCAUCAUCCCUGUGCUUCAUUAGAGUGCUGUGCGCUGGUGGGAUUGAAUUUGAGUGAUGUGAUGGAGGAUGGGAGUGUACUUGGAUUGGCAACACAGAAACAGGAGGUGGAGCCUCAGCUUCCAUGAUGGGUGAAGGAGAUGGUGCUGGUGACACAAAUUCACUUGGUGGGCUUCUUGUUUUGUAGCUUUUCAAUCCAAGUAAAGCCCUGAAUUUUUGCACAAUCAAAGUUUCUUUUUCGUCAUUCUCGUCCUUUCCUGAAACUUUCUCAAUCUGCUUCUCAUUACCAUCUUCACUUUCCUCCCUGAAAUCCAACUUUUGUAGGCUGUGAACUUUGAAGCACUCUGCUGCAACCAAUGAAGCAUCAGCAAUAAAAAUGUGGGUACUUCGUAAUGAUAAGAACAUGAAAAUGGUUAUAAUGAGGAAGAUCAUGUGGAGAAUCUGAUAAGAAGAGCCCAUGUUCUUCAACCAGAAAUCAACAAAGCAUCAAUAUCUUUCUGCUUACAAAACAACAUUUAUUUUUGGGUGGUGUAGGUACUGUGCAAGGAAGAACAGGUAUUUCAAUCUUUAAUGCUACUCCAAGGAAUCACUGUCCAUGGCAGUUAGAGUUGUACUGGAUCUUCUUUAAUCUUUACUUUUCUAUUCACGCACUCUUAUCUCCUCACCUCCAUAAAUUGUCCUGCAAACCACAAUUUGUCUUUAGGAGGCUGUCAUUAUUUUUCAUUUCUUGAUUCUCUUUCUUAUGUGAUUGUUACUUUCUUGUAUGCUCUUUGUUAGAG
rnacentral:misc_RNA from 1 species